rnacentral:misc_RNA from 1 species
GGCCAAUACUUCUGAAUAAAGAAAAGGAGGCGGAUGAACAGUAACACUAACACCGAACUAAAGAAAGCAACAAUCCUCCUACUUUCUCUUUAAGACCCAUCACCGACUCUCUCUCGCAUCUGGAUUCUGCGGCAACAGCAGAACAAUUAUGACAACAAUGGCUUCUUCAAGACUCUGUCUUCUCCUCCUAUUCUUUCUCUGCUUCAUUCUUUUUAUCAAUCAUCCAGUCAAAUGUGAUGGUAAGCAUUUUAAGAUAUAACUUCUCUCUCUAUUCUUACUGUAGAAUUUCAAGAACCUUCUUUCAUUUUUUUUUUUUUCCCUUUUUAUUUCCUUGGUUUCUGCGUCUUGUUUUUUUGGCAUUUUCUUUUAAGCCCGAGUUCGAUGAGUAUUGAGAUCUGAUUACUAAUGGUUGGAAUUGAGUGUGUCUGAGUUGUUUAGCUGGUCCUUUAUUUAUGUUUGCUAAAAAUGGGUGUUUCUGAUCUGUUUACUUGGGUUGUACGAUUGGUGAUAUGUUUCUAUGUUAUGUACCCAUAGAUCAUCGUGUUGUUGUGAUCUUUUAUUCCUUUUCAGUAGUUACUAGCAAGUUCCAAGAUAGGUCAAGGAAGAGACUGUAAAUGAAAUUCCAAGGGAAUAAAUGUGUAUACUCCUUCUUUUGCAUGUAAAUUUUUGGUUGAUUCUGUGUUGCAAUUAUGCAUAAAAGUUGGACUGUGGGUUGCUAUUCAUGGGAAUCUAGAACUAGAGUUAUGUGCUCAUCAAAAAUUGUAUUGCCUUUUGCUUAUCCGAGAAUAUUUCUUGAGUUCCCUAAUCUUCUCAGAGGACAAGUUAGUUUUGCUGCUUGUUCAGAAUGCAAAAGAAUUGGGACUUGUGUUACUUCUUCCUUGAAGUUGUGGUGUUUCUGUGGCUUUCUUUUUUGCUGUAAAUAUUGAUUUCUCUAUCAUCUUCUGCAGCUGAAAUUUAAUGAGAUCAAAUAAAUCUAUUGUAAAGCUUUGUAGUGGCAAAACCCACAGUACUUAUUUGUAAUUUAUUUAUUUAACUCUCUAUCUUCCCACUCCGGUUGAUAUCUGAACACUUAACCUUUCCAUCUGCGUGAUUUGUCUGUAGAGGAGGAUACACUUCUUGAAGGCAUUAACAGCUACAGGAAAUCAUUGAAUCUGACUGUCCUUACAAAGAAUGACAAUGCAGAAUGCUUUGCUGAGGAAGUAGCUGAUCAAUUUAAGAGUCAGCCUUGUACGAACAGCACAGGCUCCAAUACAGUGCCAGGCACUGAGCCUCAGAUCCCCAAUUAUGAAAGUCUUUUAGCCAAAUGUCAUUUGAAUGUCUCCAACACAAAGGAUGGAUAUGUAAUGCCUGCUUGUGUUCCCAACUUGGAUCCAAGUCUUGUACUCACUAACUUCACAGAGACUCAAUACUCGGGAGAACUCAAUGACACUAA